AUGGUAUCUAAAUCAAAGUAUGAAGAUCUUAUAACAUGUAUGUGUAGUGUAAAGAACAUCAUACAAGAGUAUAUAUAUUAAAGAAAAAGGAAAUAGGAACCUUUGAUGUAUUAUCAGCAGGAGUAACUGAAUCAGCAUUCAUACUGUAAUCUUUAAAUGCUGCUGUGGUAUCAUCUUCGCUUUCUGAUUCUUCUUCUUCGUCUACUUGUUCAGAUUCACUGCUGCUACUGCUUUCUAGACCAAUUUUAUUUGAAUUUUUCCAUUUUUCUGAGCCAAUGACAUAAGGCAAAGGCC